UAUGAAAUCCAUUUGGACGUGAGUAGUACUAGGAUGGGUGACCUCCUGGGAAGUCCUUGUGAAAGGGUUUCAUAU
rnacentral:rRNA from 1 species